rnacentral:rRNA from 1 species
GGAAUCUUCCACAAUGGGCGAAAGCCUGAUGGAGCAACGCCGCGUGUGUCCCCCCCCCCCCCCCCCCCCCCCCCCCGAUGAAGGGUUUCGGCUCGUAAAACACUGUUGUAAGAGAAGAAUGACAUUGAGAGUAACUGUUCAAUGUGUGACGGUAUCUUACCAGAAAGGAACGGCUAAAUACAUGCCAG